UACGGGGGGAGCAAGCGUUGUUCGGAUUCAUUGGGCGUAAAGGGUGCGUAGGCGGCGCGGUAAGUCGGGUGUGAAAUCUCGGAGCUUAACUCCGAAACUGCAUUCGAUACUGCCGUGCUUGAGGACUGGAGAGGAGACUGGAAUUUACGGUGUAGCAGUGAAAUGCGUAGAGAUCGUAAGGAAGACCAGUGGCGAAGGCGGGUCUCUGGACAGUUCCUGACACUGAGGCACGAAGGCCAGGGGAGCAAACGGG
rnacentral:rRNA from 1 species